rnacentral:rRNA from 1 species
GAUGAACGCUGGCGGCGUGCCUAACACAUGCAAGUCGAGCGAUUCUCUUCGGAGAAGAGCGGCGGACGGGUGAGUAACGCGUGGGUAACCUGCCCUGUACACACGGAUAACAUACCGAAAGGUAUGCUAAUACGAGAUGAUAUAUUUUUAUUGCAUGAUAAAAAUAUCAAAGCUUUUGCGGUACAGGAUGGACCCGCGUCUGAUUAGCUAGUUGGUAAGGUAACGGCUUACCAAGGCGACGAUCAGUAGCCGACCUGAGAGGGUGAUCGGCCACACUGGAACUGAGACACGGUCCAGACUCCUACGGGAGGCAGCAGUGGGGAAUAUUGCACAAUGGGCGAAAGCCUGAUGCAUGCAACGCCGCGUGAGCGAUGAAGGCCUUCGGGUCGUAAAGCUCUGUCCUCAAGGAAGAUAAUGACGGUACUUGAGGAGGAAGCCCCGGCUAACUACGUGCCAGCAGCCGCGGUAAUACGUAGGGGGCUAGCGUUAUCCGGAAUUACUGGGCGUAAAGGGUGCGUAGGCGGUCUUUCAAGCCAGAAGUGAAAGGCUACGGCUCAACCGUAGUAAGCUUUUGGAACUGUAGGACUUGAGUGCAGGAGAGGAGAGUGGAAUUCCUAGUGUAGCGGUGAAAUGCGUAGAUAUUAGGAGGAACACCAGUAGCGAAGGCGGCUCUCUGGACUGUAACUGACGCUGAGGCACGAAAGCGUGGGGGAGCAAACAGGAUUAGGUACCCUGGUAGUCCACGCCGUAAACGAUGAGUACUAGGUGUCGGGGGUUACCCCCCUCGGUGCCGCAGCUAACGCAUUAAGUACUCCGCCUGGGAAGUACGCUCGCAAGAGUGAAACUCAAAGGAAUUGACGGGGACCCGCACAAGGUAGCGGAGCAUGUGGUUUAAUUCGAAGCAACGCGAAGAACCUUACCUAAGCUUGACAUCCCAUUGACCUCUCCCUAAUCGGAGACUUCCCUUCGGGGACAGUGGUGACAGGUGGUGCAUGGUUGUCGUCAGCUCGUGUCGUGAGAUGUUGGGUUAAGUCCCGCAACGAGCGCAACCCUUGCCUUUAGUUGCCAGCAUUAAGUUGGGCACUCUAGAGGGACUGCCGAGGAUAACUCGGAGGAAGGUGGGGAUGACGUCAAAUCAUCAUGCCCCUUAUGCUUAGGGCUACACACGUGCUACAAUGGGUGGUACAGAGGGUUGCCAAACCGUGAGGUGGAGCUAAUCCCUUAAAGCCAUUCUCAGUUCGGAUUGUAGGCUGAAACUCGCCUACAUGAAGCUGGAGUUACUAGUAAUCGCAGAUCAGAAUGCUGCGGUGAAUGCGUUCCCGGGUCU